GACUCCAUAGCUAAGUGGUUAUAGCAUGAGAUUGCAGCAAAUGAUCAGGUGAUCACUUAAUCUCGGGGUCGCGUGUUCGAGUCACGCUGGGGUCU